rnacentral:rRNA from 1 species
UACGUAGGCAGCGAGCGUUGUUCGGAGUUACUGGGCGUAAAGAGAGCGUAGGCGGUUUUCUAAGUUUGGUGUGAAAUCUCCCGGCUUAACUGGGAGGGUGCGCCGAAGACUGGAAGGCUUGAGUAUGGGAGAGGUAAGCGGAAUUCCUGGUGUAGCGGUGAAAUGCGUAGAUAUCAGGAGGAACACCUGCGGUGUAGACGGCUUACUGGACCAUCACUGACGCUGAGGCACGAAAGCGUGGGUAGCAAACAGG